rnacentral:hammerhead_ribozyme from 1 species
AUCUAACUGAAGAGUCCGAAAUAGGACGAAACACGCAUCAUGAAU